GUGCUCGCUUCCGCAGCACAUAUACUAAAAUUGGAACGAUACAGAGACGAUUAGCAUGGCCCCUGCGCAAGGAUGACAAGAGAAAAAAAAGAAGAAAAAAAAAAAAGA